rnacentral:rRNA from 1 species
CCUACGGGUGGCAGCAGUGGGGAAUAUUGGGCAAUGGACGCAAGUCUGACCCAGCAACGCCGCGUGAAGGAAGAAGGCUUUCGGGUUGUAAACUUCUUUUAAGGGGGAAGAGCAGAAGACGGUACCCCUUGAAUAAGCCACGGCUAACUACGUGCCAGCAGCCGCGGUAAUACGGAGGAUGCGAGCGUUAUCCGGAUUUAUUGGGUUUAAAGGGUGCGUAGGCGGAUCGUUAAGUCAGUGGUCAAAUUGAGGGGCUCAACCCCUUCCCGCCAUUGAAACUGGCGCUCUUGAGUGGAAGAGAAGUAUGCGGAAUGCGUGGUGUAGCGGUGAAAUGCAUAGAUAUCACGCAGAACCCCGAUUGCGAAGGCAGCAUGCCGGCUUCCGACUGACGCUGAAGCACGAAAGCGUGGGGAUCGAACAGGAUUAGAUACCCGGGUAGUC